rnacentral:rRNA from 1 species
AGGACGAACGCUGGCGGCGUGCUUAACACAUGCAAGUCGAGCGGAAAGGCCACUUCGGUGGUACUCGAGCGGCGAACGGGUGAGUAACACGUGAGUAAUCUGCCCCUGGCUUUGGGAUAGCCACCGGAAACGGUGAUUAAUACCGGAUACGACCGCUCCUCGCAUGAGGUGGUGGUGGAAAGUUUUUCGGCCAGGGAUGUGCUCGCGGCCUAUCAGCUUGAUGGUGAGGUAAUGGCUCACCAUGGCUUCGACGGGUAGCCGGCCUGAGAGGGUGACCGGUCACGACUGGGACUGAGACACGGCCCAGACUCCGUACGGGAGCAGCA